rnacentral:rRNA from 1 species
AGGCAAUUGACAGACAGCUUUGGCGGGUCGCCGGCUUCUUAUAGGGACUAUCAGCUCAGUCAAUGGAAAUUUGAGAGAAUAACAAGGCUGUGAUGCCCUUAUAUGUUUUGGGGCGCACGCCCGCUACCCCGACACAACCCAACAAUUCAUUUCCUUGCCCCGAAGGGUUGGGGGAUCGUGUUAAACUCUGUCCCGGUGGG